AUGCCGUCGAUUGGCAAGGCCACCGACAACGGCGAGAUGAAGCAGCGGCGGCCGGAGCAGGAGCUGGUCUGCGUCACCGGGGCCGGAGGCUUCAUCGGCUCCUGGGUCGUCAAGGAGCUCCUCCUCCGCGGCUACCGCGUCAGGGGAACCGCCCGAGAUCCCGCUGACCGCAAGAACGCCCAUCUGCUCGCGCUGGAGGGCGCCGAGGAGAGGCUCACCCUGUGUCGCGCCGACGUCCUCGACUAUGACGGCCUCCACGCCGCCUUCCGCGGCUGCCAGGGCGUCUUCCAUGUCGCCUCCCCGGUCUCCAACGACCCUGACCUUGUGCCAGUCGCCGUCGAGGGAACCAAGAACGUGAUCAGAGCGGCGGCGGACGCCGGCGUGAGGCGUGUGGUGUUCACGUCGUCCUACGGCACCGUGCACAUGAACCCCAACCGCGGCCCUGACGCCGUGCUCGACGAGUCCUGCUGGAGCGACUACGACUUCUGCAAGAACACAGGCAACCUCUACUGCUGCGCGAAGAUGAUGGCGGAGAUCACUGCGACAGAGGAGGCCGCUAAGAGGGGCCUGGAGCUUGCAGUGGUGGUGCCGUCCAUGACCAUGGGCCCCAUGCUGCAGCAGACGCUCAACUUUAGCAGCAGCCAUGUCGCCCGCUACCUCACCGGCGCCAAGCCCACCUACCCGAACGCCGUCGCCGCCUACACCGACGUCCGCGAUGUCGCCCGUGCACACAUUCUCGUCUACGAGCACCCCAACGCGCGUGGCCGCUACCUCUGCAUCGGUGCCGUGCUACACCGCGCACAUUUCCUGCAGCUGCUCGGCGACCUCUUCUCGCAGUACCACAUAACUGCCAAGUGCGAAGACGACGGCAAGCCCAUGGCGAAGCCGUACAAGUUCUCAAACCUGAGGCUGAGGGAGCUGGGGUUGGAGUUCACUCCGUUGAGGGAAAGUUUGUAUGAGACGGUGACAUGCUUGCAGAAAAAGGGCCACCUUCCUCUGCCCGUUGUUCCCAUAACACAAAAGCGUGCCUACUUGUAA
rnacentral:rRNA from 1 species